CAAUAGCGGAGGAAAAGAAACCAACAGGGAUUGCCCUAGUAACGGCGAGUGAAGCGGCAACAGCUCAAAUUUGAAAGCUGGCUCCGGCCCGCAUUGUAAUUUGCAGAGGAUGCUUCUGGUGAGGUGCCUUCCGAGUUCCCUGGAACGGGACGCCAUAGAGGGUGAGAGCCCCGUAUGGAUGGACACCAAACCUGUGUGAAGCUCCUUCAACGAGUCGAGUAGUUUGGGAAUGCUGCUCUAAAUGGGAGGUAAAUCUCUUCUAAAGCUAAAUACCGGCCAGAGACCGAUAGCGCACAAGUAGAGUGAUCGAAAGAUGAAAAGCACCUUGAAAAGGGGGUUAAACAGUACGUGAAAUUGUUGAAAGGGAAGCGCUUGUGACCAGACUUGCGCCGGGCAGCUCAUCAGGGGUUCUCCCCUGUGCACUCUGCCCGGCUCAGGCCAGCAUCGGUUCUCGUGGGAGGAUAAGAACGGUAGGAACGUGGCCCCCUUCCGGGGGGGUGUUAUAGCCUACCGUACGAUACUCCCGUGGGGACCGAGGUUCGCGCUCCGCAAGGAUGCUGGCGUAAUGGUCAUCAGCGACCCGUCUUGAA
rnacentral:rRNA from 1 species